AUUGAACGCUGGCGGCAGGCCUAACACAUGCAAGUCGAACGAGUGGCGGACGGGUGAGUAAUGUCUGGGAAACUGCCUGAUGGAGGGGGAUAACUACUGGAAAAGGUAGCUAAUACCGCAUACCAUCAGAUGUGCCCAGAUGGGAUUAUCUAGUAGGUGGGGUAACGGCUCACCAAGGCGACGAUCCCUAGCUGGUCUGAGAGGAUGACCAGCCACACUGGAAAGGAGACACGGUCCAGACUCCUACGGGAGGCAGCAGUGGGGAAGAUUGCACAAUGGGCGCAAGCCUGAUGCAGCCAUGCCGCGUGUAUGAAGAAGGCCUUCGGGUUGUAAAGUACUUUCAGCGGGGAGGCGUUACCCGCAGAAGAAGCACCGGCUAACUCCGUGCCAGCAGCCGCGGUAAUAC
rnacentral:rRNA from 1 species